CUUGAAACAAGAUGGCGGAUCUACCGAAGUCGUUUGCUGAAACUAGGAUUCGAGAUGCCGCACAAUGGUUUUUAACUAACAGGAGAGGUCUUUUGUCAAGAACCGUUGCAAACUACCGUCAAAAGCACAUCUUGUCGAGAAGUGCUGGUAUCAAGCCUUUCGUUCACUUUGUGGCCCUAGUUAUUGUUGUAAACUACUUCAUUCAAUAUCCUCGCGCUAAAGCACACGAGAGACGGAGAGAAUUUCACUGACUGAUGUGGCUGGAAGGGACUCUAGAGUUCAGCUAGUGACUUGGUGUAUUAUCUUGUGUUACUGUUAACGUCGUUGAAAAAAUCUGUUCAACCUCAA